rnacentral:rRNA from 1 species
GUAAGGCCCUUCGGGGUACACGAGCGGCGAACGGGUGAGUAACACGUGGGUGAUCUGCCUCGCACUUCGGGAUAAGCCUGGGAAACUGGGUCUAAUACCGGAUAUGACCUGGAACUGCAUGGUUUCGGGUGGAAAGAUUUAUCGGUGCGAGAUGGGCCCGCGGCCUAUCAGCUUGUUGGUGGGGUAAUGGCCUACCAAGGCGACGACGGGUAGCCGGCCUGAGAGGGCGACCGGCCACACUGGGACUGAGACACGGCCCAGACUCCUACGGGAGGCAGCAGUGGGGAAUAUUGCACAAUGGGCGAAAGCCUGAUGCAGCGACGCCGCGUGAGGGAUGACGGCCUUCGGGUUGUAAACCUCUUUCGACAGGGACGAAGCGCAAGUGACGGUACCUGUAGAAGAAGCACCGGCCAACUACGUGCCAGCAGCCGCGGUAAUACGUAGGGUGCGAGCGUUGUCCGGAAUUACUGGGCGUAAAGAGCUUGUAGGCGGUCUGUCACGUCUUCUGUGAAAACUCACAGCUCAACUGUGAGCUUGCAGGCGAUACGGGCAGACUAGAGUACUUCAGGGGAGACUGGAAUUCCUGGUGUAGCGGUGAAAUGCGCAGAUAUCAGGAGGAACACCGGUGGCGAAGGCGGGUCUCUGGGAAGUAACUGACGCUGAGAAGCGAAAGCGUGGGUAGCGAACAGGAUUAGAUACCCUGGUAGUCCACGCC